CAAAAAACGUCGGUUCUCGUAAUUAAAAGAUUAAAGACCCCCAUUUCCAUGAAUUUUCCAUGUAUAAAAAACCUUAAGUGGUAUUAACACCUUUAAGCAGCGUUAUACUUAAUGCAAUAGCAAUCUGACAAUUCAACGUUAUAUUUCAGCGUAGACAAGGAUUCUACCAUGGCAGUAUAGACAACAGUACCAGCAGUUACAAUGGAUUUGUAAUGUGUACCAACG